rnacentral:pre_miRNA from 1 species
UGUUAAAAAUUUUAUUCAACUAUAUUGUUAAAAAUCAACUGGCUUAGAGAAUAACUAAAAAGUGAUAAGUAGUGUGUCAUGUGUAUCUAAUGCUAAUGUACAUAGAUCAGUUUUUAACUGUAGGAAUGAAUGAAAUUUUUAACA